GACGAACGCUGGCGGCGUGCUUAACACAUGCAAGUCGAACGGCAAGGCCCUGCUUUUUUGGUGUGCUCGAGUGGCGAACGGGUGAGUAACACGUGAGUAACCUGCCCUUGACUUUGGGAUGACUUCAGGUAACUGGGGCUACUACCGGAUAGGAGCUGACGCUGCAUUGUGGGGGGUGGAACGUUUCGGCGGUUGGGGAUGGACUCGCGGCUAAUCGCCUUGUUGGUUGGGGAGUGGCUUGCCAAGGCUUUGGCGGGUAGACGGCCUGUGAGGGUGACCGGCGACAAUGGGCCUGCGAGACGGACCAGACGGCAACGGGGGGCAAUAGUGGGGAAUCUGGCCCAGUGGGCGGACGUCUGUUGCAGCAACGCUGCGUUUGGGAUGCCGUUCUGUUGGGUAUAAACCGCUGUCGCUUGAGACGAAGCGGGAGUGACGGUAACGAGUAAAGAAGCACCGGCUAACUACGUG
rnacentral:rRNA from 1 species